rnacentral:rRNA from 1 species
UAGGGUAUUGGCCUAACAUGGCUAUGACGGGUAACGGGGAAUUAGAGUUCGAUUCCGGAGAGGGAGCCUGAGAAAUAGCUACCACAUCUAAGGAAGGCAGCAGGCGCGUAAAUUACCCAAUUCUAAAGAAGAGAGGUAGUGACAAGAAAUAACAAUGCAAGGCCAAUUAUUGGUUUUGUAAUUGGAAUGGUGGGAAUUUAAAACCUUCCCAGAGUAACAAUUGGAGGGCAAGUCUGGUGCCAGCAGCCGCGGUAAUUCCAGCUCCAAUAGCGUAUAUUAAAAUUGUUGCAGUUAAAACGCUCGUAGUUGAAUUUCAAAGAAUCGAUAUUUUAGAGUAACUAUUUUAGGGAACUCUUUUUUGGCUUCACGCCUUUAAAUUGCUUUCUCCUAUUAUUAUGUUCUUUAAAUAAAAAAGAUUCUUUUUAAAAUCCCCACUUUGCUUUUGCUUUUUGGGGAUUUUGUUACUUUGAGUAAAUUAGAGUGUUCAAAGCAAACAGUUAAAGCAUUUUACUGUGUUUGAAUACUACAGCAUGGAAUAACAAAAUUGAACAAGCUAAAAUUUUUUGUUCUUUUUUCUUAUUUUGGCUUAGUUACGAUUAAUAGGAGUAGCUUGGGGACAUUCGUAUUCAGAUGUCAGAGGUGAAAUUCUUAGAUUUUCUGGAGACGAACAACUGCGAAAGCAUUUGUCUAAAAUACUUCCAUUAAUCAAGAACGAAA